GUGGGGAAUAUUGCACAAUGGGCGCAAGCCUGAUGCAGCAACGCCGCGUGAGGGACGACGGCCUUCGGGUUGUAAACCUCUUUUAGCAGGGAAGAAGCGAAAGUGACGGUACCUGCAGAAAAAGCACCGGCUAACUACGUGCCAGCAGCCGCGGUAAUACGUAGGGUGCAAGCGUUGUCCGGAAUUAUUGGGCGUAAAGAGCUCGUAGGCGGGUUGUCGCGUCUGCUGUGAAAACCCGAGGCUCAACCUCGGGCCUGCAGUGGGUACGGGCAGACUAGAGUGCGGUAGGGGAGAUUGGAAUUCCUGGUGUAGCGGUGGAAUGCGCAGAUAUCAGGAGGAACACCGAUGGCGAAGGCAGAUCUCUGGGCCGUAACUGACGCUGAGGAGCGAAAGCGUGGGGAGCGAACAGGAUUAGAAACCCUUGUAGUCC
rnacentral:rRNA from 1 species